rnacentral:rRNA from 1 species
CACUCCUACGGGAGGCAGCAGUGGGGAAUAUUGGACAAUGGGCGCAAGCCUGAUCCAGCCAUGCCGCGUGAGUGAUGAAGGCCCUAGGGUUGUAAAGCUCUUUCACCGGUGAAGAUAAUGACGGUAACCGGAGAAGAAGCCCCGGCUAACUUCGUGCCAGCAGCCGCGGUAAUACGAAGGGGGCUAGCGUUGUUCGGAUUUACUGGGCGUAAAGCGCACGUAGGCGGACUAUUAAGUCAGGGGUGAAAUCCCGGGGCUCAACCCCGGAACUGCCUUUGAUACUGGUAGUCUUGAGUUCGAGAGAGGUGAGUGGAAUUCCGAGUGUAGAGGUGAAAUUCGUAGAUAUUCGGAGGAACACCAGUGGCGAAGGCGGCUCACUGGCUCGAUACUGACGCUGAGGUGCGAAAGCGUGGGGAGCAAACAGGAUUAGAUACCCCUGUAGUCCCAUGAU